rnacentral:rRNA from 1 species
GGGCCCGCACAAGCGGUGGAGUAUGUGGUUUAAUUCGAUGAUACGCGAGGAACCUUACCAGGGCUUAAAUGUAACGGGACAGAUCUAGAGAUAGAUCCUUCUUCGGACUCAUUACAAGGUGCUGCAUGGUUGUCGUCAGCUCGUGCCGUGAGGUGUCAGGUUAAGUCCUAUAACGAGCGCAACCCCUGUUGUUAGUUGCCAGCGAGUAAUGUCGGGAACUCUAACGGGACUGCCGGUGCAAACCGCGAGGAAGGUGGGGAUGACGUCAAAUCAUCACGGCCCUUACGUCCUGGGCUACACACGUGCUACAAUGGCCGGUACAGAGGGCAGCCACACCGCAAGGUGGAGCGAAUCUUCAAAGCCGGUCUCAGUUCGGAUCGCAGUCUGCAACUCGACUGCGUGAAGCUGGAAUCGCUAGUAAUCGGAUAU